UGAACGCUGGCGGUAUGCCUAACACAUGCAAGUCGAACGAGGUAGCAAUACCUAGUGGCGGACGGGUGAGGAAUACGUAGGGAUCUGCCUUUAAGUGGGGGAUAACCCGGGGAAACCCGGAUUAAUACCGCAUGAUCUCGCAAGAGCAAAGUGGGGGAUCGCAAGACCUCACGCUUUUAGAGGAACCUACGUCGGAUUAGCUUGUUGGUGAGGUAAUGGCUCACCAAGGCGACGAUCCGUAACUGGUCUGAGAGGAUGAUCAGUCACACCGGAACUGAGACACGGUCCGGACUCCUACGGGAGGCAGCAGUGGGGAAUAUU
rnacentral:rRNA from 1 species